ACUCCUACGGGAGGCAGCAGGGGGAAUAUUGCACAAUGGGCGAAAGCCUGAUGCAGCAACGCCGCGUGAGCGAUGAAGGCCUUCGGGUCGUAAAGCUCUGUCCUAUGGGAAGAUAAUGACGGUACCAUAGGAGGAAGCCCCGGCUAACUACGUGCCAGCAGCCGCGGUAAUACGUAGGGGGCAAGCGUUAUCCGGAAUUACUGGGCGUAAAGGGUGCGUAGGCGGUUUAUCAAGUCAGGGGUGAAAGGCUACGGCUCAACCGUAGUGAGCCUCUGAAACUGGUGAACUUGAGUGUAGGAGAGGAAAGUGGAAUUCCCAGUGUAGCGGUGAAAUGCGUAGAUAUUGGGAGGAACACCAGUGGCGAAGGCGACUUUCUGGACUACAACUGACGCUGAGGCACGAAAGCGUGGGGAGCAAACAGGAUUAGAUACCCUGGUAGUC
rnacentral:rRNA from 1 species